rnacentral:rRNA from 1 species
GGAGGUGGCAAGCGUUGUUCGGAAUUACUGGGCGUAAAGGGCGCGUAGGCGGCUAGGCAAGUCAGAUGUGAAAGCCCCGGGCUUAACUCGGGAAUUGCAUCUGAAACUGCUGUGCUUGAGUUCUGGAGGGGGUAGUGGAAUUCCCAGUGUAGCGGUGAAAUGCGUAGAUAUUGGGAGGAACACCUGCGGCGAAGGCGGCUACCUGGACAGAAACUGACGCUGAGGCGCGAAAGCUAGGGGAGCGAACGGGAUUAGAUACCCCGGUAGUCCUAGCUGUAAACGAUGGGCACUUGGUGUUGGGGGUAUUGAGUCCCCCGGUGCCGGAGUUAACACGUUAAGUGCCCCGCCUGGGGAGUACGGUCGCAAGACUGAA